GAGCCCUCUACAGGGAUGUCAUGCAGGAGAACUAUGAGACGGUGGUCUUGCUGGUUAUGGACACCGUUGGAAACGAAGAUCAAGGGGCAAGGGAGCCCAUCAGAAGGGAGGCCCUGCUUCAGUUGACCCUAUCUCAGGGACCCAACAAAAUGAAAAAAUGGUCACUAGGAAAGGGUUUCUAAAUUCCAAACCUGAUGUGAUCUCGCAGCUG